AACUGGGCAGUACCCCCAAAAAGGGGGGAGUUCAUGUGCCAACUUGCCCGCCAAAUUUCUCAGAAUGUUUGCCGCCAUUGAACGGUUCAUAGGUAGUGCAUCAGAGUUCUCGUUUUAAGAAACAAAGGUUCGGGGGUACUUUCCACGCUUUUCUGGAUAAGAUUCCUUCCAUCGUUCAUUAGGACAUGAGGUGUAAAGCUGCAACAUUUGUCCCAGUGUGCUUUCAAGGUGUUGAAGAAGUCGAUGCCAAAACUGGGAAAGAAAACUUACCCGUACCAGGAUGGAUCGUAAGAAGUUUCAAUAUCCUGAUCUGCGCUAUAGUCUACGAUGCUGAUAUCUUGGAUCUUGUUGAUGGUCAACGAACCCGUGUAAUAAUUGAGUCCGAAAAAAUCCGAACUUCCCUGGACCAACAAUUUCUGCUCGGCCGUGAAAACGGGCAAUCGAGACGGAUUGUAGCCUUGGGCAGCGCUCUUCUCGUCCACCUUUUGACGUAUUCGGGUAUUUUUAUUUAUUUAUUUAUUUUUUAAAUAUGCAAAUUCUAUUUAUUUACCUUUUGUCUCAUAACGGCAGGAUAUUCACCGUUACCGAAAAUUGGAUUGGCGAACCAUCCGCCAAGGAAUUGCAUGGCCCGUUCGGCUGCCUCUUGACUGGACACUUGAUCGUCUUUCGGGUCGUACCAGUUAAUGUUCAACGUGAUUCCUGCCUUACCUGUUGACCGAAAAUCAUCGAAUUAUUUAAAAAAGCCAGGAAUGGUCAAGUCAUUUCGGCGGCUACCGUCAGCAUCCCAUCCGCCUUCUAUCUGAUGGGCACUCGUUGCCGCUGCCCACAUGAAAUCGGUUGGAAACGUGUCGUAGAGUAGCGGCUCAUCGACGUAAAUACCGGUGACAGUACCCACCACUACCAGUAGCAAACAUGUUAAUUUAAUCGCCAUCUAUACGUACAUUCAAUUGUUAUUCCAACUCGUGUAUGUGCAAUUUAAUACGUUAAUUACAGUCAAAAUAAACAUAACAGACCUUUGUGUCCACAAA